rnacentral:rRNA from 1 species
UACGGAGGGUGCGAGCGUUGUCCGGAUUUAUUGGGUUUAAAGGGUGCGUAGGUGGCUUAAUAAGUCAGUGGUGAAAUACAGCCGCUCAACGGUUGAGGUGCCAUUGAUACUGUUAAGCUUGAAACAAGUGGAGGUUGCCGGAAUGGAUGGUGUAGCGGUGAAAUGCAUAGAUAUCAUCCAGAACACCGAUUGCGAAGGCAGGUGACUGCGUUUGAUUUGACACUGAGGCACGAAAGCAUGGGGAGCAAACAGG